rnacentral:rRNA from 1 species
UACGUAGGGUGCAAGCGUUAAUCGGAAUUACUGGGCGUAAAGCGUGCGCAGGCGGUUCUAUAAGACAGAUGUGAAAUCCCCAGGCUUAACCUGGGAACUGCAUUCGAGACUGCAUUGCUAGAGUAUGGGAGAGGGAAGUGGAAUUUCAGGUGUAGCGGUGAAAUGCGUAGAUAUCUGAAGGAACAUCAGUGGCGAAAGCGACUUCCUGGACCAAUACUGACGCUCAUGUGCGAAAGCGUGGGGAGCAAACAGG